AUAAAGGGUCCAGCCUGCCCAGUGACACUGUUCAACGGCCGCGGUAUCCUAACCGUGCGAAGGUAGCGUAAUCACUUGUUCUUUAAAUGAGGACUAGUAUGAAAGGCAUCACGAGAGUCAUGCUGUCUCCUUUCUCUAAUCAGUGAAACUAAUCCCCCCGUGAAGAAGCGAGGAUAAAAAUAUAAGACGAGAAGACCCUAUGGAGCUUUAAACAAAUAACACUUACCAACCUUUAUUAAAUUUCAGAAAAAUUUUCCUAUUUUGGUAUUAUAAUUAUUAGUUUUUGGUUGGGGUGACCACGGAAUAAAAAACAACUUCCGCAAUGAAAACACUUCACUUAGUUAAGGACUACAAUCCUAUUCAUCAACAAAUUGACAUUAAUUGACCCAACUCGUUGAUCAAUGAACCAAGUUACCCUAGGGAUAACAGCGCAAUCCGCUUCAAGAGCUCCUAUCGACAAGUGGGUUUACGACCUCGAUGUUGGAUCAGGGUGUCCAAGUGGUGUAGCCGCUACUAAAGGUUCGUU
rnacentral:rRNA from 1 species